rnacentral:rRNA from 1 species
GUAGGUGGCAAGCGUUGUCCGGAAUUAUUGGGCGUAAAGCGCGCGCAGGCGGUCCUUUAAGUCUGAUGUGAAAGCCCACGGCUCAACCGUGGAGGGUCAUUGGAAACUGGGGGACUUGAGUACAGAAGAGGAAAGCGGAAUUCCAAGUGUAGCGGUGAAGUGCGUAGAGAUUUGGAGGAACACCAGUGGCGAAGGCGGCUUUCUGGUCUGUAACUGACGCUGAGGCGCGAAAGCGUGGGGAGCAAACAGGAUUAGAUACCCUGGUAGUCCACGCCGUAAACGAUGAGUGCUAAGUGUUAGGGGUUUCCCGCCCCCUUAGUGCUGCAGCUAACGCAUUAAGCACUCCGCCUGGGGAGUACGGCCGCAAGGCUG